UCCUGGUUGCUAACAUAACUAGUAUAUCAAGGCAUUAAACUUGUCUUCCUUGGAGUCAAUAGCACUGAACAUUUGGUGCUGAUUUUAGCAUGGCAAGGAUGAAACCUCCAAUUAUGAAAUUCUGCUGAAGCAAUGCAAAAUCAAAGCCUGCUCUUGCUGCAGAGAAAGCAACUGUCAGUUUCAAGCACUGACAGUAUAGUCCUGUGUGUGUUUUACUCAGAAGUCUCACUCAAUGGAACGUGCAUCCAGUAAAGAACUAUGCAACACAGGGAACACUUGGAGAUUGCCCAGAAGGAUCCAAGAGAACCUCACCAAGCUGUAACAGGGUGCAAAGUGGUGCAGGGACUGGGAGCAAUUCCAUCUGUUCAUCCCACCGCACACAAGCCUGAUGGACACCCAGCCAAUAGACACACUUUCUUUUUUAACCUACAUCUAUAAUAACAUUUAGAUUUAUUGGAAAAAGAAAUCUUUGACCCACUGGGUGAAAACCUGAGACUGCCGUCUUUGUCAUGAACAUACAUAUAAAAAACCAAAUUGAAGAGAGCUUAUGAAUAAAUGAAUGAAUAAAUAAGUGAAUAAAUGAUGAAGCACUCAAUUUAAUUACAUGUACUGCAAUAGUAUUUACUGGAUAAGGAAACUAUAUGUCUGUUACUUCUCUCAGCCUUCUACUACUUCACACUGGGACCCAAAGUAACUGGAAAAUGCUUUAGCUGCUAAGAAUUUUUCAUAACCACUUUCAGAUAGCUAAAUUGCCAAGAGGUGAUCCACAAACCAUAAUAUCCUUUUUAAGACAGCAACAUACGUCCAUAAAAAGACUUUACCUGGAGUACUGUGUCUAAUGCUGGGCACCACAGUUCAGGAAAGAUAUUGGUAGGUUGGAUUGUGCCCAGAGGAGGGUGAUCAAGAUGAUAAAAGGUUCCAUGAUACAUUCCAGCUUACUGAUCAUUGUGGGCACCAGCAGCUUCUAUAACAGAGAAUGUUUUUGACUACCUUUGGUGGUUGGCCCACCUGUGAUCUUAUCUUUAUUUGUGUAGUCUGUUCUUUGACUACCUCUAGACUAUAUUGUUGCUUUCUGCUAGGUGUCUCCAGAGACACAUUGGAAAAUACAACUAGUGCAGAACCAAAUAUAAUCAAAUAAGGUCACAAAAGCAUAUUUUUAUCCAAGAACCAUUAACAAGAUCUGAAAAGUCUCAGACCGAUCAGAUGGGAUAAACAGGACUAAUAAUGGAGAGAAAAGGUGGCAGAAGUGAUCACAAUUUUAGCGUUUUGGUCGUUAGGAUUAUGAAAAAAUUAUCUAUGAGGAGCUAAAGCUAGGAUCAUUUUUAUACAUAAAAGCCUGUAUGUAUUGA